rnacentral:rRNA from 1 species
AGUGAACGCUGGCGGCAGGCCUAACACAUGCAAGUCGAGCGGCAGCGGGUCCUUCGGGAUGCCGGCGAGCGGCGGACGGGUGAGGAAUGCAUCGGAAUCUGCCCUGUCGUGGGGGAUAACCUAGGGAAACUUAGGCUAAUACCGCAUACGACCCACGGGUGAAAGCGGGGGAUCGCAAGACCUCGCGCGAUAGGAUGAGCCGAUGUCCGAUUAGCUAGUUGGCGGGGUAAAGGCCCACCAAGGCGACGAUCGGUAGCUGGUCUGGGAGGAUGAUCAGCCACACUGGGACUGAGACACGGCCCAGACUCCUACGGGAGGCAGCAGUGGGGAAUAUUGGACAAUGGGCGCAAGCCUGAUCCAGCCAUGCCGCGUGGGUGAAGAAGGCCUUCGGGUUGUAAAGCCCUUUUGUCCGGGAAGAAAUCGUCUGGGCUAAUACCCCGGGCGGAUGACGGUACCGGAAGAAUAAGCACCGGCUAACUUCGUG